AGGUCUUGACAUCCCGAUGCUAUUCCUAGAGAUAGGAAGUUUCUUCGGAACAUCGGUGACAGGUGGUGCAUGGUUGUCGUCAGCUCGUGUCGUGAGAUGUUGGGUUAAGUCCCGCAACGAGCGCAACCCCUAUUGUUAGUUGCCAUCAUUAAGUUGGGCACUCUAGCGAGACUGCCGGUAAUAAACCGGAGGAAGGUGGGGAUGACGUCAAAUCAUCAUGCCCCUUAUGACCUGGGCUACACACGUGCUACAAUGGUUGGUACAACGAGUCGCGAGUCGGUGACGGCAAGCAAAUCUCUUAAAGCCAAUCUCAGUUCGGAUUGUAGGCUGCAACUCGCCUACAUGAAGUCGGAAUCGCUAGUAAUCGCGGAUCAGCACGCCGCGGUGAAUACGUUCCCGGGCCUU
rnacentral:rRNA from 1 species